UGGCUCAGUUGGUAGAGCAUGGUGUUUGCAACGCCAGGGUUGUGGGUCCAAUUCCCAC
rnacentral:tRNA from 1 species